UAAAUUUCAGAGUGCUACCUAACAAUUCAUGAGGCAUUGAGAAUUGAGAUUUCAUAUGUACCAAAGCAAAUGCAAGUCUAGUAACCAUGUUCCGGGUCACAUUACCUUAGCUGACUGACAGCAGAAGAAUACUGUUUUAUUUUUUUUCCAUUGAACUUGUAUUUCCAUGAAGAGAUCUUGGAAUGCAUCAGCUCUUUUUUUGAGACUUAAAAAAAAAAGAGAGAGAGAGCAUGUCUACCAGUGAGAUAAAUUUGGAAGAUUAAUUUAGCAUCUUUCUUCAAGUAUCAGCUUUUGAAGAUCACAUAGCAAGAGCUCACAAGUGUUAGUGUCAUUACCAAAACGAAGUUAUUCAUAACGUGUUUUUAGUUGAGAGUUUCUGUUAAUCUGAGUAUGUUUGAAUGCAAGCCCGAGCAGACUAUGAAACACAAAGAAACAGUAUGGCAGGGUACACCACAGUGCUCAGCUUUCUUCUCCUUGCUUAUCCUUCUAUGGGGAACAGGAAUCAAGGAGUCUCUAGCAGCACAAUCUUGUAGACAUUUUUUCCUAUCAUAGGAACAUUAUAAUUGGACUUGUCCCCUCUCAGAUUUGUUUUAGAAAUACACAAAUCUGUGGAACACUGGGUAAGCCUUCAAAUAAUGAAUAUUAGAUAUUUUAAAGACACAUAGACAAUCAUAUUAUGAUUGUGUCUUUACCACUAUUUUCUCUGAUGUAGUUUUAGCUCAGAAUUAAUCUAAUUAAGUAACUGUUUCCAUUUAAGGUGAGAUUUGAUUUCAGAGUGUGUAGGGAACUUGGUCAAGAUCAUACAGCUAGUAUAUAGCAGUCAACAUUCAAACUCUUGUCUAUGCUACACCAUUGUAGAAACCCACUGAAGAUACAGGUGAGAAGGCCAUGCAUAUACUAUAGUAAAGAAAUCACAUUACACAUAGUUUUCAGCAGCUUCUAAAUAGAUGUGCAAAUGUUUUCAAGGCAUAUAAAUGAUUCAAACAGAAUUUUCACCAUCUAGACUAUUACCGAACUCCUGAAGCAAAUAUACCUGCCUAAAAAAAAAUCAAACCUCACCCUAAAUAGCAAUAAUUACUUUUUUAUAGUAGAAUAAUACAUGGAGUUAAAUUAAAACUUAUAAGUAAAGUCCUAGCUAUUUUGUCUAGAGAAUUCUAAGGCCAGUAUUAGUAGCCAGCUUUUUACUGCCUCUCUUGCUAAUCCACUCAGCAGCUACUGAGUUUAUUCUGUGCUAAGAUCUGGGUCAGGCAUUAUGAAUAUAAUGUUGAAUAAAGCACAGAGUGCUCCUAUUGAGGGCAAGACCUACUUACACGGAAUACCAAUGUGCAUGAGUUUGUGCGGAUACUCACAUGCAGAUGCAAAUUGGUACUGCUUACUGCAGAAGACAGUAGGUUAUAUAACUAGUUGUAUCGAUCACAUGGUAAUAAUUACAUUAAUCUUUCUGGAUUUUCUCAUGGCUUUCUGCACAUUUUGGUUUUAGUUAAGGUGGAGCUCUUUGAUCGGAAAUGCCCACAGGAUAUGCAUUCUGGCUAUUGAAGCUGUGUUCUUGUUUCCUUUGCUGAUGGAGCCAUGUUGAUGGUCAAGUGAAGCAAUUUUCAUAUUCUCCCUAGAUUUGAUCUUUGAUGAAAGGAACCAAAAAGAAUUCAAAGGAGCUACCUUGCCUUAGGGACUUCCUUCUUCUAUUAAAUUGAUGGAUCCUGACUUUGUUGGGGUUUAAAGAACACUAAAAGGCCCAUGUUGAUUGAGUUUUGACUUGAAAGUGGAGGGGCGGGCCUGUACUCUCCUAGUGUUGUGAUAUUUGUAAAAGGAGGUGGGGUCAUUGCUAAGGAUUUUAAUGCAGGUAUUUUAGGUCUUAAAGAUUUAAUCAUCUUAGUGAAUUGAAGCACAGACAAUUUCUCUGUAAAGUGCGAUAAUCAACAGUCACAGUUUGAAGCAUAAGAUUUUGCAAAAUCAAAAUUGAUUCUGUAUGCCCAAUUUUGAUUUACUUAAUAACUUUUCAUUUGUCUUUUACAUUUCUUCAUAAGGAUGUUUCUAAAAUAUGACAUCUACUUUAAACAUCUAAGUAUCUCUCUCAACACACACACACACACACACACACACACACACACACACACACACUAUGUUACCUAUGUAUUGAGAGAGAGAGAGAGAGAACACUCAAUAUAGAUAGCUCUGCCUUCAUAUGAAAUCAUUUGCUUUUCCCCCUCCUUGAAUUGUUCUUGAAAACUACUGUUCAAUAGCAAAACUAAUGACCCAAUUGAUGGCACAGGCUAAUAUAAUACAUCAAUCUGGUUUCUCAUUAUGGUGUAACCUUCCUCAGGUUUACCCCUAGGAUUGAUUUCCUUUUCGGUGCUCCUUUUACUUUUGUUAAUGAUAUGUAAGAGCACUCACCUCUCUUGUAUUCCUUUGUCUUUAUUUUCCGUUUUGUUUUUUCUUUUGUCUUAAUUUGUUGGUAAUGGGAUUUGAACUUUCAGCCUCACAUAUGCUAGGCAGGUGCUCUGGCACCACACUGUAGCUGUGUCCCUAUUCCCUUUUUGCUCUGUUGUUGCUUUAUAGGCUUCCUGUUUGUCCCAGGAUUUCCAAAGACUGCUCUUCAUCUCUGUAUUAGUCAUAGUGCCAUGUGCAGUACUUUAUUGUACAUUGGUCUCAGUAGCACUUUUUAAAAUCAAAAUCUUCGACCAGACAUUGGAUAUUUGAACUAUCCUGAAACAUUUUAGAAAUAUCCAGGC
rnacentral:lncRNA from 1 species